CCGACCUUGCUGGCCGGUCUCCCUGGAGCUGAAGUGCCUGAGGCCUGCUCUGGCCCAGAGCGCACGUGAGUGAGGCCUCUGCUGUGGGCUCUGGGCCGGAGGCGUCCUCUCUCUGUCAGUCCUCGGGAGGUGGAUCCUGGCUUUGAGCGAGGCUGUAUCUUUGGGAGUAUUUUUAUACAAUAUCUAAAAUCACGACAUGUUUGGAGUAUGUCCAGGUAGCUCGGCUGAAUGUUACACGAGAAAGGGAGAAUCCCGUGUUACCACCCUCCCUGGGGCAUCAUCAUUACGGACGUUACCUUCAGGGAAUCUGAGUGAAGGGCACAUGGAAUCCCUCUUCACUCUGUGGGCAUCCUCCUGUGAGCUGCACAUCCUCCUGUGAGUUGCGCAUCCUCCGAUGGAGUUUUGCUCUUGUCGCACAGGCUGGAGUGCAAUGGCACGAUCUCGGCUCACCGCAACCUCCGCCUCCUGGGUUCAAGCGAUUCUCCUGCCUCAGCCUCCCAAGUAGCUGGGAUUACAGGCAUGCGCCACCUCCAGCUAAUUUUGUAUUUUUAGUAGAGACCGGGCUUCUCCAUGUUGGUCAGGCUGGUCUCAAACUCCCGACCUCAGGUGAUCCGCCCACCUCGGGCUCCCAAAGUGCUGGGAUUACAGGCAUGAGCCACUGCGUCACACUGUCGGUCUUUUUCUUAUCUCACUUGAGGAGCUCUAAGCAGUGUGGGGGAAUUAUCCCUUUGUUUAUCGUGCAACACUUCAUCCGGCAGGAUUUUAUUUCCAAUUUUACCUUGUGUAUGUUUUUUUCUAAAUAUUCUUUUUUUCUUUCAUGACGAGAUCCACUAAAUAUAUAAGUUGUUUCUUUAGAGGAAAAUUAUUAUGUCUUGAAAGAGUCAGAUUAUGUUGUUGAUGAGGUGAACAUUCAUCCAAUAAGUGAUAGUGAUGUAAUUUAAAGACAUAAAAUGACUUAAUUGUUAAAUUCAUCAAGUUAGAAUUUUUGGAUAAAAAUUUAUAUGAGUUUAUUUUCAGUGUCCUCUCCAGGUUGAAAUUUGAGUUCUUUCACUUGCUAUUCAUGUGAUUUUUGAACAGGUUAUGUAACCUCGUUAAGCCAAGAUCUCAUUCUUCAAAUGGGCACUAUCAUAAUGUAGUCAUCCUAACACUGUUGAGAUGAAGAUAAGCAAUCAGAUGGUCCUCAGUGGGUACCCAAUGACUAAAAAUGCCUUUUCCUUUUUAUGAAAUAAGCUGGUAAAUUCUGUUUGGAUACCAACACAAAUCUUCCAAAGAUCUUGUCACACCACCCUUAGAUUGACUUACAUUUUGUGCUACUAACAGCAUAGCAAGCCUCACAAUCAAAUGACCUGCACCUUGCAAAAUAGCAUUAUAUAGAAGGCUCAAGUGUAGUAUCUAGUUCUCCCUUCAAUCAAAAAAAUACUGCCACAGGCCUGAGCACAUGAAGGCCGUGUGUCCUUUCCUCCACAGCUUGGAGGCACAGGACCUGAAGGGGCUGGGCCAGUGUAUGGGGCAGAUGCACCCUCGCACUUUUGGUGGUGAGAUGGAAGCUGGCAACGUCUCUCACCCUGCAUUCCAGCAUCAACGCCCUGUCCAGCCCUGGCAUUUGCUUGGAAUAACUCAUCAUUGCUUCACAAACCUGCCUUCUGCAUGGGAGUAACAGAGUGACAUUUGAUAGCCCAACAAGUUGUCCUCACGAGUGCCAUGAAUGGAGCCCUGCCUAGACAGGAGACAAGGGGCCCAAACCUUGGGGAUGGCUCAGAUGCUGCUAGUUAUAGGGGCUGCAGAGCAACAGGCUUUCAGGGGAGUUAGCUUAAUACUUGGCAAAUUGCGCUGCGCUUGCUGCAAGGAAACCAGGUGGCAUUUCUCGAGAGUCCCAGGGGCUUCCAGUCUCCUCUUCCUACCUGGGAGCACUAAGCAGAGGAACCAGAGGGGACUGGGGGUGCAAGAUGUGCAAGGAGCUGAAUCACAUUCAUCCCAUGCAUUCGCUAAACAGACUAACUCAUACUAAAAACAUGAAAGCAAAUCUCACAAAGAAUGCUGUUUCUUUUCUAUCAUUACAAAAAAAUCAAGGCACAAAGUAUUCACCCGAUGGUCAGCUCAUGCUAAGUACUGGUCUUCUCUUUACUUUGAAUAUGGGAAGAAAUUCCUGCAUCCUCCAUGGCUGCCGCUUUCCAUGGCUGUUGGUUGGUGCAGGAGACAGACACAGCUUUAGUGUUGCCAUAGGAGCUGGCCACCUGGAGAAUAUUAGGCUUAAUUAGCACUUUGACAUUUCCCAGGAAUUUAAAUACACUUGACUCUCACUCCAUGUGUAUUUUUCUGACCCUGGGGAGGCUGGAUGCCAGGGUUCUCUAGCAGACGCUGGUGGCUCCGGGUGGCAUGAGCUGGAGCCGCCUUCAGCACCCUGCCAGGCGCCCAGCCUGGAUGAAUGCAUCUUUUUGAGCCACUUUUUGGCUUUCAGAGAUUCUGAGGACACCACCUCUCCCUGUUCUCCUGAGUUUUCAAGGAGAGGGUUUUUACUUGGAGCCAGGACAAGAACACUGCCGCGUCUCAGCCGUGCCAAAUGAGAACCACAUGCAGGAGGCGUCCUGGAGAGCAGCAGACUCGCGGCCUCCUGGCUCCUGGCCUGGCAGCUCCUAGGAUGGAGACAGCAGUGCUGGCUGAUCGUCCAGCGCAGCAUGGGGAGCGGGGCAGGAGAAGGGGCAGGAGAGCUUGCUACUCCUUUUCGUGGCUGUUUUUGAAAAUUUUGUGACACUUUUUUUUAAUUCCUAUAAAAUGAGAAAUGAAAAUUCCAUUCAUUUUCAGUGUUUAAAUGGGAACUGUAAUUCUACCCUCUGAUGAUGUAAAAACAAAUAAUUCAUUAAAAUGGGACUGGAAA